AGCAGCCGCGGUAAUUCCAGCUCCAAUAGCGUAUAUUAAAGUUGUUGCAGUUAAAAGCUCGUAGUUGAAUUUCGGGAUCAGUUGGUCGGUCGUGCCUCGGUACGUACUGGUCAAAUUGAUUCCUACCUUCUGACGAACCACGAUGUCAUUAAUUUGGUGUCGCGGGAAAUCAGGACUGUUACUUUGAAAAAUUAGAGUGUUUAAAGCAGGCUCGCGCUUGAAUACAUUAGCAUGGAAUAAUGAAAUAGGACGUUUGAUUCUAUUUUGUUGGUUUCUAGGAUCGACGUAAUGAUUAAUAGGGAUAGUUGGGGGCAUUAGUAUUCAAUUGUCAGAGGUGAAAUUCUUGGAUUUAUUGAAGACUAACUACUGCGAAAGCAUUUGCCAAGGAUGUUUUCAUUAAUCAAGAACGAAAGUUAGGGAUCGAAGACGAUCAGAUACCGUCGUAGUCUUAACCAUAAACUAUGCCGACUAGGGAUCGGAUGAUGUUAAUUUUUAAU
rnacentral:misc_RNA from 1 species